UACGAAGGGGGCUAGCGUUGCUCGGAAUCACUGGGCGUAAAGGGUGCGUAGGCGGGUCUUUUAAGUCAGGGGUGAAAUCCUGGAGCUCAACUCCAGAACUGCCUUUAAUACUGAAGAUCUUGAGUUCGGGAGAGGUGAGUGGAACUGCGAGUGUAGAGGUGAAAUUCGUAGAUAUUCGCAAGAACACCAGUGGCGAAGGCGGCCAACUGGUCCGGUACUGGACGCUGAGCCGCGAAAGCCAGGGGAGCGAACGGG
rnacentral:rRNA from 1 species